GGUGGCCUAGAGGUUAGAGCGUCCGUCUCAGAUGCGGGAGGUCGUGGGUUCAAUCACCGGUAGAGUCA